AACAUUCAAACUCAAGCAAAUACUUAUUUCAAACCGUCUGUAAAAUACUUAAUAAUAUAGGUUUAAUAGUUUGCAAAACAUUUCAAGGGAAAAGUAAAUACUAAGAGACUCCUCUACUCCGUCUAUCUAUGAAGCCUCAAUAGUUCAACAUGGAUGUCGAGAUAAGAACUAUGACACACUAAAAUGAUUAAACUGAAAAUAAAAGUGGAGUGAGGCUCACCAAAUGUUAACUGGAGUGCAAAGUGAUCUCAACGAAGCGCCUGUUGAUGAUCCCGAACACCUGUAUCUG
rnacentral:lncRNA from 1 species